CGAACGCUGGCGGCGUGCCUAAUACAUGCAAGUAGAACGCUGAAGAGAGGAGCUUGCUCUUCUUGGAUGAGUUGCGAACGGGUGAGUAACGCGUAGGUAACCUGCCUUGUAGCGGGGGAUAACUAUUGGAAACGAUAGCUAAUACCGCAUAACAAUGGAUGACACAUGUCAUUUAUUUGAAAGGGGCAAUUGUUCCACUACAAGAUGGACCUGCGUUGUAUUAGCUAGUAGGUGAGGUAAUGGCUCACCUAGGCGACGAUACAUAGCCGACCUGAGAGGGUGAUCGGCCACACUGGGACUGAGACACGGCCCAGACUCCUACGGGAGGCAGCAGUAGGGAAUCUUCGGCAAUGGGGGCAACCCUGACCGAGCAACGCCGCGUGAGUGAAGAAGGUUUUCGGAUCGUAAAGCUCUGUUGUAAGUCAAGAACGGGUGUGAGAGUGGAAAGUUCACACUGUGACGGUAGCUUACCAGAAAGGGACGGCUAACUACGUGCCAGCAGCCGCGGUAAUACGUAGGUCCCGAGCGUUGUCCGGAUUUAUUGGGCGUAAAGCGAGCGCAGGCGGUUUGAUAAGUCUGAAGUUAAAGGCUGUGGCUCAACCAUAGUUCGCUUUGGAAACUGUCAAACUUGAGUGCAGAAGGGGAGAGUGGAAUUCCAUGUGUAGCGGUGAAAUGCGUAGAUAUAUGGAGGAACACCGGUGGCGAAAGCGGCUCUCUGGUCUGUAACUGACGCUGAGGCUCGAAAGCGUGGGGAGCGAACAGGAUUAGAUACCCUGGUAGUCCACGCCGUAAACGAUGAGUGCUAGGUGUUGGAUCCUUUCCGGGAUUCAGUGCCGCAGCUAACGCAUUAAGCACUCCGCCUGGGGAGUACGACCGCAAGGUUGAAACUCAAAGGAAUUGACGGGGGCCCGCACAAGCGGUGGAGCAUGUGGUUUAAUUCGAAGCAACGCGAAGAACCUUACCAGGUCUUGACAUCCCGAUGCUAUUUCUAGAGAUAGAAAGUUACUUCGGUACAUCGGUGACAGGUGGUGCAUGGUUGUCGUCAGCUCGUGUCGUGAGAUGUUGGGUUAAGUCCCGCAACGAGCGCAACCCCUAUUGUUAGUUGCCAUCAUUCAGUUGGGCACUCUAGCGAGACUGCCGGUAAUAAACCGGAGGAAGGUGGGGAUGACGUCAAAUCAUCAUGCCCCUUAUGACCUGGGCUACACACGUGCUACAAUGGUUGGUACAACGAGUUGCGAGUCGGUGACGGCGAGCUAAUCUCUUAAAGCCAAUCUCAGUUCGGAUUGUAGGCUGCAACUCGCCUACAUGAAGUCGGAAUCGCUAGUAAUCGCGGAUCAGCACGCCGCGGUGAAUACGUUCCCGGGCCUUGUACACACCGCCCGUCACACCACGAGAGUUUGUAACACCCGAAGUCGGUAAGGUAACCUUUUGGAGCCAGCCGCCUAAGGUGGGAC
rnacentral:rRNA from 1 species